CAAUAGCGUAUAUUAAAGUUGUUGCAGUUAAAAAGCUCGUAGUCGAAUCUCUGGUCGGUUCAGGCGGGGCGAUGCCUCGCCGCGGACCUGGCCAUCCGUACGGGAAGCCGGUUCGGCCUUCACUGGUCGGCCGGGGGAAUGUACAUUUUACUUUGAAAAAAUUAGAGUGCUCCAGGCAGGCAAUCGCUUGGAUAGUACAGCAUGGAAUAAUGGAAUAGGACUUUGGCCUGUUUGUUGGUUUACGGUCAGAGUAAUGAUUAAUAGGGACAGUUGGGGGCAUUCGUAUUUAAUUGUCAGAGGUGAAAUUCUUGGAUUUAUUAAAGACGAACUAAUGCGAAAGCAUUUGCCAAGGAUGUUUUCAUUGA
rnacentral:rRNA from 1 species